rnacentral:rRNA from 1 species
GACGAACGCUGGCGGCGUGCUUAACACAUGCAAGUCAAACGGAAAGGCCCCUUUGGGGGUACUCGAGUGGCGAACGGGUGAGUAACACGUGAGUAACCUGCCCUUGACUUCGGGAUAACUUCAGGAAACUGGGGCUAAUACCGGAUAGGAAUCCUUGCUGCAUGGUGGGGGUUGGAAAGCUUCGGCGGUUUUGGAUGGACUCGCGGCUUAUCAGCUUGUUGGUGGGGUAGUGGCUUACCAAGGCUUUGACGGGUAGCCGGCCUGAGAGGGCGACCGGCCACAUUGGGACUGAGAUACGGCCCAGACUCCUACGGGAGGCAGCAGUGGGGAAUAUUGCACAAUGGGCGGAAGCCUGAUGCAGCAACGCCGCGUGCGGGAUGACGGCCUUCGGGUUGUAAACCGCUUUCAGCAGGGGCGAAGCUUGUGGUGACGGUACCUGCAGAAGAAGCACCGGCUAACUACGUG